CUCAAUGGCUUCUUUGGUUCUUUUGUUAUCUGGGCUUCUUCGACAUGAAAAUCUUGACAACAUAAUGCCAUUUCCUUCUGCUCCGCCGUCUUGUGCCAACAAAGUGGUGGUGAAGAGAUCUGCAGGAAGUUUGGCAAACAAGUGCAAAAAUGUGCAAUAUCAAAUUCAAGAAGAUCUACCUAGGGUCUGUGUAGACCUAGUUUGGUCUUAGGCGACUAAUUUCUAGUAUUUUUUUCCAUUUUUUCUUUCUGUUUUCCUUUAUUUUCUCAAUUAUAGUUUCUCACUGCAAAAUUCCAUUGUUGUAUGAGUAUUGAAGCUCUUACAGGCUUUAACUUUAUACAGAAGUUGCAAUAAACUCAC
rnacentral:lncRNA from 1 species